rnacentral:rRNA from 1 species
GACGAACGCUGGCGGCGUGCUUAACACAUGCAAGUCGAACGGAAAGGCCCUGCUUUUGUGGGGUGCUCGAGUGGCGAACGGGUGAGUAACACGUGAGUAACCUGCCCUUGACUUUGGGAUAACUUCAGGAAACUGGGGCUAAUACCGGAUAGGAGCCCCUGCUGCAUGGUGGGGGUUGGAAAGUUUCGGCGGUUGGGGAUGGACUCGCGGCUUAUCAGCUUGUUGGUGGGGUAGUGGCUUACCAAGGCUUUGACGGGUAGCCGGCCUGAGAGGGUGACCGGCGACAUUGGUACUGAGAUACGGCGCAGACUCCUACGGGAGGCAGCAGUGGGGAAUAUUGCACAAUGGGCGGAAGCCUGAUGCAGAAACGCCGCGUGCGGGAUGACGGCCUUCGGGUUGUAAACAGCUUUCGCCUGUGACGAAGCGUGAGUGACGGUAAUGGGUAAAGAAGCACCGGCUAACUACGUG